AGAAAAAGGUACCUACUCUGUACCGCUUUAUACACUCAACCAUGAAACCCAUUUUUCCACUCAACCAAACAAUGUGAAAUUGUCACUCAACCCCAAUGAUGAAGAAAUCUCUCACUUAAAAGGAGAUUGGAGAUGUUGGCAAAGAAGAGGAGUCUCACCUUCCAGAAACUGGAUUGAAGAGAGAUGGAUAUAUAGUGGUUCUGAGAUGUCCAUGGACAAGGUAGCAUGUGGGUUUAGAUAGUUGGGAGUUGACAUCUAUGCCGCCGAGGAGGAUCUGUUAAUAGGAAGGUAGGGGCUAUAUCUGUACUUAGAUAUACUAAGCAAUUUCCAGGACUUCCUGCUGAAUUUGAAGUGUUUUGGAAAAAGGGAUGCAGACAUGUAUGUUCUUUUGGAAUUUGUAUUUAGUAUCCAGCAUAAAAACCUCUAUUGAUGCCAUGGGCCAUGUUUCAACUUGAAGGCACCUCCACUACACCUUUGCUUUAGUUGCUGCAAGUUAUUGUAUUGAGGUUCAGUGUUAGGAGUUAGAAGAUGGAUGAAGCAAGAACAUGAGUUAUUAAGUGGAUUUAAGGCUAUAUAUCUAGACAUAACUGUGAACUUUUUUGUUUUGUUUUUUGUUUUCCUGAUUGUGGGUUUCUUUUGAUUUCGACUAUUUAAUUUCUCAAGUAGGAGAAAAGAUUUGAUUUGGGUAGGAUAAGGGGUUACUAAAUUGACUGUCUUUCUUUAUUUGUAAUAUGUAGGCUGGCAAAUUUCAUAAUGACAGUAAUGAUGAAAGUUUUUGGAUUCUUUGGAUAAAGCCCAAUGAUACCAAGUAGUUAUUAGACCCUAAGCUACAAAGGAAGGAUAACAUUUUUGCACAACUGGUGCUGUAAGCUUCUUAUAUACCCACACAUAUAUUCAUGUCUCCAAUUUUGAUAUUGUAUAAACAUGGAGUUUUCAUUGUGUU